UUAAAGAUAAGCUAAAUAAGCUAAUGAGUUCAUACCUCAUUUAUAUGGGUUUAAUCCCUUUUUUUAAA
rnacentral:tRNA from 1 species